GUGUUGUUUGCUACUUGCCGCUGUUGCUGCAUGCUGCUGGCCACUUGUUGCUUGUCGUUGAUGCUCAAUGAUGUUAGCCGUGACCUGCCUGUAGAUGAGAGAAAGAGAGAUUGAUUUGCUAGUGCAAGUAUCUAAUGAGCCAGAUGCCAGCUGGUUUGAUCUUUUCAGCAAACGCUAUUGGGAAGUUGUGAGUGUGGGAGCGACACUGUUUUUGUUUCAGUAACUUGCUGGCAUAAAUGUUGUCGUGUACUACUCUACGUCCAUGUUCCACAGUACAGGCCUUGCAUCUAAUGUUGCAGCGAGUGGAGUGCUCUUGUUCGGUGAUGCCAAUGUUUUUGGCACCAUGAUUGCAUCUCCACUGAUGGUCAAGCAAGGAAGGAAGAGCCUUCUCAUAACAAGAUUAUCUGGAAUGGCGCGUCGAUGUUACUCUUGUCAUUGUCCUUCACCUGGAAGGCUUUAGCACCUUAUUAUGGCACUCUUGCUGUUGUUGGCACUGUCCUGUAAGUGGUUUACAUUCACCUAAUAUGGUGUUCUCCUGGUUUUUCAUUAUCACUAAUUUUAGCUCAUAACUAACUUCAAAUCUUGAUAGUAAUUUUAUGAGUGCGGUGUGAGCACACAACACCCACAAACCAAUUUCAGUAAUCUCCAUAAGCCA